GAGUUUGAUCAUGGCUCAGGAUGAACGCUAGCGAUAGGCCUAACACAUGCAAGUCGAGGGGCAGCACAUGAAGUAGCAAUACGGAUGGUGGCGACCGGCGCACGGGUGAGUAACGCGUACGCAACCUGCCUACAACAGGGGAAUAACCCGUUGAAAGACGGACUAAUACCCCAUAACACAGGGAUCCCGCAUGGGAAUAUUUGUUAAAGAUUUAUCGGUUGUAGAUGGGCAUGCGUUCCAUUAGCUUGUUGGUGAGGUAACGGCUCACCAAGGCAACGAUGGAUAGGGGAACUGAGAGGUUUAUCCCCCACACUGGUACUGAGACACGGACCAGACUCCUACGGGAGGCAGCAGUGAGGAAUAUUGGUCAAUGGACGCAAGUCUGAACCAGCCACGUCGCGUGAAGGAAGACGGCCCUACGGGUUGUAAACUUCUUUUGUAAGGGAAUAAAGUGUAGUACGUGUACUAUUUUGCAUGUACCUUACGAAUAAGGAUCGGCUAACUCCGUGCCAGCAGCCGCGGUAAUACGGAGGAUCCGAGCGUUAUCCGGAUUUAUUGGGUUUAAAGGGUGCGCAGGCGGGAGAUUAAGUCGGCGGUGAAAUUUUGCAGCUCAACUGUAAAAGUGCCUUCGAAACUGGUUUCCUUGAGUGUGGAUGAAGUAGGCGGAAUUUGUGGUGUAGCGGUGAAAUGCAUAGAUAUCACGAGGAACUCCGAUUGCGCAGGCAGCUUACUAAACCAUAACUGACGCUCAGGCACGAAGGCGUGGGGAUCAAACAGGAUUAGAUACCCUGGUAGUCCACGCAGUAAACGAUGAUUACUGGCUGUUUGCGAUACAAUGUAAGCGGCUGAGCGAAAGCGUUAAGCACUCCGCCUGGGGAGUACGUUCGCAAGAAUAAAACUCAAAGGAAUUGACGGGGACCCGCACAAGCAGCGGAGCAUGUGGUUUAAUUCGAAGCAACGCGAAGAACCUUACCUGGACUUGACAUCCCUCUGACCGUCUUUUAAUCAAGAUUUUCCCUUCGGGGACAGAGGAGACAGGUGGUGCAUGGUUGUCGUCAGCUCGUGUCGUGAGAUGUUGGGUUAAGUCCCGCAACGAGCGCAACCCUUGUCUUUAGUUGCCAUCAAGUAAAGUUGGGCACUCUAGAGAGACUGCCAAGGUAAACUUGGAGGAAGGUGGGGAUGACGUCAAAUCAUCAUGCCCUUUAUGUCCAGGGCUACACACGUGCUACAAUGGCCGAUACAACGGGCAGCUAAGGAGCAAUCCGGAGCAAAUCCUACAAAAUCGGUCCCAGUUCGGAUUGUGGGCUGAAAUUCGCCCACAUGAAGUCGGAGUUGCUAGUAAUCGCGAAUCAGCAUGUCGCGGUGAAUGCGUUCCCGGGUCUUGUACACACCGCCCGUCACACCACGGAAGUCGGAAGCGCCCGAAGCCAGCUACUUAACCGUAAGGAGAGAGCUGUCGAAGGUGAAGCCAAUGACUGGGGUGAAGUCGUAACAAGGUAGCCG
rnacentral:rRNA from 1 species